rnacentral:rRNA from 1 species
UACGGGGGGGGCAAGCGUUGUUCGGAAUUACUGGGCGUAAAGGGCUCGUAGGUGGCCAACUAAGUCAGACGUGAAAUCCCUCGGCUUAACCCGGGAACUGCGUCUGAUACUGGAUGGCUAGAGAUUGGGAGAGGGAUGCGGAAUUCCAGGUGUAGCGGUGAAAUGCGUAGAUAUCUGGAGGAACACCGGUGGCGAAGGCGGCAUCCUGGACCAACACUGACGCUGAGGAGCGAAAGCCAGGGGAGCAAACGGG